UUUUAGAAGAGCCACGGCCGAAGUCAGCGUCCCAGCAAAGACAAACCCCAAGACCAGAGAUGGGAUGUGGGUUGGUGAGAGUGCCAAGCGAUAGGGGCACGUGGAGGAAAGAAGACUCAGAAGCACCUGUGUGGUAGGCGGGCCUCUGGCUGGAUCCCACUGAGCCUGGCCUCCUGAGAUUCACCCUUGCGUGUGACUCCUUUUCCGUGAAUAGAGUCCAGAUAAAAAGGCAUCUGACAUCGGGGCAUUUUCUAAUCAGCUCAGACUGUCAUAGCAAAAUGCCACGGAUGGGGGCUUACCGGACAGAAUCCGCUGUGUCCCAGGCGGGAAGUCCAAGGUGAGCGUGCCGGCCGUUCUGGUUCUGGUGAGAACGUUCUCGCUCGUUUGCAGACACUGACUUCUCGCUGGGUCCUCCCGUGGUGGACAGACAGCAAGCCCUGAUGUGUCUUCCUCCUCUUGUAAGGAUGCCGGUCUUAUCAGGGGGCCGCCGUCAUGGCUGUGUCCACAGCCGCGUGGAACAGAGAGGCCCUCUGCAGAGCUGAAUCCCCUCAGCGGUCACAUCCUGAGCUUGGCUGCAGGAUGGAAGAAAUGGAUUUGUAAGCGGCUGUCAGACACAGGACACGUGCAGUUGCGGAAAUAUCCUAUGAAAAGGGUCACUUCCUGUGUCACCAGCAAAGACAGACAUGAUGAGCUGGAGUGGAGUCGACAAUAUGGGAUGACAGGAUCCCUGGAAAAAAUGCCUUCAUGCUUUGAUCUGUCAGCUCCCUGAAGAAACUGACCUCCAAGCAUGAUUACUCCAGGUCAACCACCAUCUGGAGGAAAAUGACCCUCCUUCUGAUGUGUCCCCAGAAGGUGAACAGUAGCCUAACACUGCCUCACGAUGCCUGCACCAUCCAGCUCACUUCAUCUCGUCAGGAUCGAGAAAAAGGAUAUUCCAGAUGGCAUCCAUUUCGGGGACCUGAGUAAGUGUGAGACUUGAAAUUUGAAGACCUGGUAUUAAUUUUUUCUCCACGGCAUGUUCCCACCCAAACCACGGAAGACACUUUGAGCCUUAUCUCUAAAAGAAUCCCACAGCGCUGUGUAAUAAACAAGGUCCCUUCUGUCUCUUAGUUCUAGGUUUUCCACUCAGUAAGGCUGGGUCAAUACCUGAGAAUUUUGCUUUUUAGCAAGUCUUCAGGACAUUCUCACCUUGCUGGACUAAAGACCACAGUCUGCAAACUACUGUUUUAUGUCAUAAUAUCUCCACCUGGUUACCAAAGAAUUUCUUUACCUUUUUUUGCAUGUAUGCAAGAAUUAAUUAGCACUUAGAAUGUGUUUCCUCUUCUUACUCACAUAUAAUACAAAUUACAAAUACAUAUGUACAUGCAUUGCAGAAAAAAAUAAAGAAAAAGGAAACAACAUAUAAAGAGUAAAUGUAUAAAGAGAAGCCUUCUCUUGAUUUAAAAAUACCUAAAUUCCUAGCCCAACCUAUCUGUGUGAAAGAAAAAGCACCUAGAAAAUUUUUCAGAGGCUCUGAAACCAUUUAAGAAGAAAAUGGCAUGAGGUUUGAUUACAUAUUAAAGUGAAUCAAAGUUGCCCCUUCUAACAUACCACUUUUGGUAUUAAAAUAUUUCAUUUUCAAUUAGGAAAUCUGCAGUGGUUCAAGGUCUCAUCAGGGAUAGGAAAUUCCUAUGCCCAUUGGCCCCAGGUCAUCCCAACCAGGGUUUGCAUCUAAGGAAUUUCCCUGAAGAACAGGGCUGAUCCCUCACCAAGUCUGGUUUAUUUCUGUUUGGGUCCUUACGAAAAAUGGGACUUUUCCUAUAGCGAAACAGAUGCAGCUCAUCAUAGAAUUAAACUACUAGUUAUCUGUUGCACCUGUAGCAAAUCACCAUGAAUGUACUGGCUUAAAACAACACAGAUGUAUUGUCUUAUGGUCAUGGAGGUCAAGAUUCUGAUGGGGGUCUUCCUGGGCUAAAAUGAAGAUGCUGGUGAGAUGGCAUCUUUUUGGAGCCACUGAGGUACAGGCAUAUGGCAUCUAGGUGCCCCUGUGUAAACAUGUUUAUGUGUACAUAUUUAGUUUUAAUCAAAUUUGGACAACAGUGGACAUACUAUGCUUUCAACUAUUUUCUUCAUUUGAUGUCUUCUGAAUUUCCCCCUUGUCAGUUAGAGCUGCAUCAUGGGAUGAGUGGAGACUGUUCGGUUAUGUCUGUAAGUGUAUUUGGGAAAUGAAUGUGCCCUGUUGCUUGACUCCGAAGGAGCUUUCUACACAUGAUUUUAACUUCAUACCAAUCUUGGUAUCUCAGGAAACCUGUCCUUUAUUUUUUAAAACUUCCUUGGAUCAUCUACAAAAUAUAUAUGUCCAAGAGAAUUUUAAAACAUUUCUUCAAAUUACAACUUGAAUGUUUGAUGAAUUUGCAUUACAUUGGAGUGGAAUUUAUCUUUGUAAUUUAACUCUUCCGAGACCUACGCGGGCCAUGUCUCUCUCUUUAGUCAGUGUUUGUAUUAAAUCAGGUCUAUUUUUCCUAACGUCCUCCCACUAAGUUUAAGAAUCCAUCGUUCUUCACAAAAAUCCUGAAACUUUGUUAGUAAUUAGGUUUGUCUUCUCAUGUUUGUGGCUAUUGUGUAAACAAU